UUUGGAAGGAGUGAAUAUGGUACAGUGAAAUGGCAAUUAUAACUUUGUACUUUAAGGUCCCGUAUUGUGAAAAGUGAUAUUUCCAUGUCUUAUUAUAAAGCAGGUGGAGGUGCUAUAUAAAUAUCAAUCAAUCAAUCAAUUUUUAUUUAGGGUUAGAUGGGUAGAUACGAGAUUGGACCCCCCCAGACGUGUCGACGCCAAAGGACGUGCCUCGUGGCCCGCCUUAUUCUGCCUCUGAUUGGCUUACCCUGGUAUUCUAACUACGUUGACCAUUCUAGCAGAUCCGAUUUAGGAUCUACCAGUGAAAUGUUAUCGUAUCAACUCCUUUAACUUGUGCAUGAUUCGUCAUAAAGCAGAAUGUGGCUGCUGUGCUAUCAGGUCAGCACAGAAAAAAAGUCACCCGGUUGAAUGGCACUGGCACUCAAGGAUCCAGACACGUCUCUGUGAAAGCAGUACUGUAUAUUCAGACAGACAGUAUGAG